rnacentral:sRNA from 1 species
UCGCGUUAAGCGCCGUAGGCAGGAGCGGGGGAACCAAGGUAGGCGCCGGAACGGAUUCCGUCGGUCGGUGACCGGGGGAGGCCGGAACGGCUUGGGGUGAAGCCGGGAGUGCUCGCACGACCGGCCGGGCGAACUCACUAGCCCGAACCCGACAGCUCACCUCGUAGGCGUCGGUGAGGAAACGA